UAAUUCUCUGGAUUUGGAUUGGCUGGUCCCGGAUAAGCGGCUCAAGGGCUUCCCUGGAGCAUCUGUUGACGUUUGGAUUCCAAGGCGAGUGCUUCUGCUCGUGCCCGUUCAUCCUGUGCAAAACGGAUCAGAGAGGGCAGCUGGGGCUGGCGUUCAGCGGGCUGUGAGAGUCGUCUCUGCAGAAUUAGCUGGUGUUGUAGAGGAGCCACGUGUCGCUCAAGUUGUGCGGAGUAUCUGGGCCAGAGGAGCCUGGCCGGGCUGUAUGGGGCCAAGAUGAGUUUCUGCGCCUCUGGAUUCGGGUGGGUGCUG
rnacentral:misc_RNA from 1 species